rnacentral:rRNA from 1 species
CUUAAGGAAUUGACGGGACCCGCACAAGCGGUGGAUGAUGUGGUUAAUUCGAUGCAACGCGAAAACCUUACCCACCUUUGACAUGUACGGAAGUUGCCAGAGAUGGCUUCGUGCUCGAAAGAGAGCCGUAACACAGGUGCUGCAUGGCUGUCGUCAGCUCGUGUCGUGAGAUGUUGGGUUAAGUCCCGCAACGAGCGCAACCCUUGUCAUUAGUUGCUACGAAAGGGCACUCUAAUGAGACUGCCGGUGACAAACCGGAGGAAGGUGGGGAUGACGUCAAGUCCUCAUGGCCCUUAUAGGUGGGGCUACACACGUCAUACAAUGGCCGGUACAGAGGGUAGCCAACCCGCGAGGGGGAGCCAAUCCCACAAAGCCGGUCGUAGUCCGGAUCGCAGUCUGCAACUCGACUGCGUGAAGUCGGAAUCGCUAGUAAUCGCGGAUCAGCAUGUCGCGGUGAAUACGUUCCCGGGUCUU